CUAUUUUGUGUACGUGAGAUAACAUAUCAGACAUACUGUAAUUAAAGUGUAGUCUCUAAAGUUGUAUAAGAGUGAGAAAGUAUGAGUCUUAAACGUAAGCUUGAAGGUGAGGUUGAGAUCAGAGAAAGUGCUGCAGAUGUCCUCCAUGACAUACUUUCGAGUAAACCUCAUCAUGUUUCCCAUGCAGCCUCUCAUUUUAUUCAGGCUGUUGAUUUACAUGAGGGAGACCACGGUAAAGUUGGCUGUACAACUGUUUGGAACUACACUUUAGCAUACGUGGUGAUCCAAGUGUUGUUCGUGGACCAACAUUAGAGGAACGGCGCUUGACGUUCUAAGGUGAUCUCCACUAGAAGUUUGGUGAAAAGAGGAACAUACGCAUCAAAGUUCCUACAGUUGAUGAAGAGAAGAAGUAUGUGAGAUACCGAGUGAUUGAAGGCGAUUUAUUGGAUGAGUAUAAGACUCUUACAGGGGAAUUCCAUGUGAUACCCAAGGAUGAGAAAACCAGCAUAGGGACGUGGACAUUAAAAUAUGAGAAGCAGCAUCCUGGUAUCCCUGAACCAACUGAAUUGCUCGAUUCCUGGCUUGCUUCUACCAAAGACUUGGAUGAUCAUCACCAUGGAAUAAAAAAGUGAACGAUGUUUUAAGUCAAUAAGUUCACCAGUUUAUUGGAUCCAAAAUAUUGUAUGAAUUAAGUUGGAAAUGUUUUUGGUUGGUUGUUUGCAUACUAAGUACUUCAAACUAAAUAAGGGAUGUAUUUAAUUAUAUUACAUUUUUACUGAUCUGUUGGUCAUUAUGAGUGUACCAGUGUGUAUGGUCAAUAAAAAAAUAAUAGUUGUGUAUUUGUAAU